UGGGGAAUAUUGGACAAUGGGGGAAACCCUGAUCCAGCGACGCCGCGUGUGUGAAGAAGGCCUGCGGGUUGUAAAGCACUUUUAGUGGGGAUGAAAUGUGCAGGGUUAAUACCUCUGCAUUUCGACCUAACCCACAGAAAAAGCACCGGCUAACUUUGUGCCAGCAGCCGCGGUAAUACAGAGGGUGCAAGCGUUAAUCGGAAUUACUGGGCGUAAAGCGUGCGUAGACGGUUACAUAAGUCGGGUGUGAAAGCCCCGGGCUCAACCUGGGAAUUGCAUUCGAGACUGCGUAGCUAGGGUGCGGAAGAGGGAAGCGGAAUUUCCGGUGUAGCGGUGAAAUGCGUAGAUAUCGGAAGGAACACCAGUGGCGAAAGCGGCUUCCUGGUCCAGCACCGACGUUCAGGCACGAAAGCGUGGGGAGCAAACAGGAUUAGAUACCCUGGUAGUCCACGCCAUAAACGAUGAGAACUAGACGUUGAAGGGGUAAGCCCUCCAGUGUCGUAGCUAACGCGCUAAGUUCUCCGCCUGGGGAGUACGGCCGCAAGGUUGA
rnacentral:rRNA from 1 species